UACGUAGGGUGCGAGCGUUGUCCGGAAUUACUGGGCGUAAAGAGCUCGUAGGUGGUUUGUCGCGUUGUCCGUGAAAACUCACAACUCAAUUGUGGGCGUGCGGGCGAUACGGGCAGACUGGAGUACUGCAGGGGAGACUGGAAUUCCUGGUGUAGCGGUGGAAUGCGCAGAUAUCAGGAGGAACACCGGUGGCGAAGGCGGGUCUCUGGGCAUGUCCUGACGCUGAGGCGCGAAAGCGUGGGGAGCAAACAGG
rnacentral:rRNA from 1 species